rfam:Schistosoma mansoni strain Puerto Rico chromosome 2, complete genome
AUACAGCUGACGAGUCCCAAAUAGGACGAAACACGCGUCCUGGAU